GGUGCUCGCUGCUGAGCGGACGAUGAGGAUGAAGACGAGCUGAGCGGUGCUGCGUUCACGGCUAUCGGGAACACGCCAAUCAUCAACAAUUGGCUUUCGCACGACGACGGCCACCAAAGAGCUCGCCGAUCGUCGGGCCGAUUCCUACCAGCUGUUCCAGGUCGUCUUCUGCGGCGCCGGCGCGUCUGCGGGCGGCGCUUCUCUUCUCGUCCAAAGUCUCCACGAAGUCCAUCGCCCCGUGGACCACUUCCACCACGAACCUGGCACGACCACAGCCACGCAAAAGCCAGGUGGUCAGAAUUCAGAUCAGAAGCAGCCAGGGAGACGGACGGUACCGGCGCAGGUGGGCCGGGACGGGCAGGUCGGUGCGGCCCGGCGGCCUGGCGAGUCGGCGGGCAAGAAGAUUGUGGUCCUUCAGGACGUCCUGCAGUAGCGCCGCCUCCAGUUGCAGCUGCAACACAACGAGACACGUCGAUGACGUCACCGGGUAGAGCCCGACCGACCGAUGGAUCGAAAAGCGCUGCGCUACCUGCCGCAGCUCCUCCUGCAUUCUGAGUCGCUGCUCG